GGUGCUGUGAGAGGGGAGUGGGUUGGGGUUUUGCAUAGAGACAGUGUGUGGCUAAACUGCAGCUGCUAUAAAAGUGCCAGUGUCCCUGUGCCAUAUUAAUGAUCUGUAUCUGUCACACAGUGCUACAUACACACAUGCCUUAUCCCACUUAUCUACUGCUGGGGCUGCUGCUGGGGGGCCCCCUGCUCUUUAGCCACGGUUCCUAUGGGCAGAUUGUGCUGACUCAGUCCCCAGAUUAUGUCUCUGUGUCACCGGGAGAAACUGCCACCCUCACAUGUAAAGCCAGUAGCAGUGUUGUUGAUAGUGAUGGAGACAGUAGGAUCUACUGGUUCCAGCAAAAGUCAGGGAAAGCACCAAAGCUGCUAAUCUACUGGGCAACCAGGCGACACACAGGGACCCCAGAGCGGAUCAGCGGCAACGGUUCUGGAACUGAUUUCUCCCUUACAAUCAGCAGAAUGGAAGCAGAAGAUGCAGCAGAUUAUUACUGUAUGCAGGACUUCCAGUCCCCACUCACACAGUGAUACAGAGCUGAACAAAAACCUUCCCCUUUAUUUCCAGCUGCAGUUGAGCUGAAUGUCGGUGCCACUGAGAGGGGGGCCCAUAUAGUGACUGCUGUUAUACAGACUGGGCUUCCCAAUAUGAAUACAGAUAAGUACAGGGGAGAGAAUGUGUGGGGUGAGUGGGAGAUUCCUGCUGGGAGUUCAGUACAGCUGGGAGCCUACUUGCCCAUCAGAAGGGUGCUGGGA